rnacentral:rRNA from 1 species
ACACGUGGUAUCCUGUCUGAAUAUGGGGGGACCAUCCUCCAAGGCUAAAUACUCCUGACUGACCGAUAGUGAACCAGUACCGUGAGGGAAAGGCGAAAAGAACCCCGGCGAGGGGAGUGAAAAAGAACCUGAAACCGUGUACGUACAAGCAGUGGGAGCCCCACCACCAAAGCAUUCUCUGGUGUUGAAGGCCCUGCAAAGCAGCAUCGCGGUGGCGGAGCGUCGUUUGCGACGCCCAACACACAAAACAAGCGGUGAGUGCUUUGGGGUGGGGUGACUGCGUACCUUUUGUAUAAUGGGUCAGCGACUUAUAUUCUGUAGCAAGGUUAACCGAAUAGGGGAGCCGGAGGGAAACCGAGUCUUAACCGGGCGUUAAGUUGCAGGGUAUAGACCCGAAACCCGGUGAUCUAGCCAUGGGCAGGUUGAAGGUUGGGUAACACUAACUGGAGGACCGAACCGACUAAUGUUGAAAAAUUAGCGGAUGACCUGUGGCUGGGGGUGAAAGGCCAAUCAAACCGGGAGAUAGCUGGUUCUCCCCGAAAGCUAUUUAGGUAGCGCCUCGUGAAUUCAUCUCCGGGGGUAGAGCACUGUUUCGGCUAGGGGGCCAUCCCGGCUUACCAACCCGAUGCAAACUGCGAAUACCGGAGAAUGUUAUCACGGGAGACACACGGCGGGUGCUAACGUCCGUCGUGAAGAGGGAAACAACCCAGACCGCCAGCUAAGGUCCCAAAGUCAUGGUUAAGUGGGAAACGAUGUGGGAAGGCCCAGACAGCCAGGAUGUUGGCUUAGAAGCAGCCAUCAUUUAAAGAAAGCGUAAUAGCUCACUGGUCGAGUCGGCCUGCGCGGAAGAUGUAACGGGGCUAAACCAUGCACCGAAGCUGCGGCAGCGAACGUAUCACCCAAGACAACUUUACGGAGUUGACGAUUGACGGAGCGAAGCGACGUCAAAGCGUAUACAAAGUCGAGUUGGCUUAGGGAUACGUUCGUUGGGUAGGGGAGCGUUCUGUAAGCCUG